rnacentral:rRNA from 1 species
ACUCCGGUUGAUCCUGCCGGACCCGACUGCUAUCAGAGUGAGACUAAGCCAUGCGAGUUAACGUAUGAAUAAUACGUGGCGAACGGCUCAGUAACACGUAGUCAACAUGCCCAGAGGACGUGGAUAACCUCGGGAAACUGAGGAUAAACCGCGAUAGGUCAUAACUACUGGAAUGUGUUAUGGCCGAAAUCUAUAUGGCCUCUGGAUUGGACUGCGGCCGAUCAGGCUGUUGGUGAGGUAAUGGCCCACCAAACCUGUUACCGGUACGGGCUCUGAGAGGAGGAGCCCGGAGAUGGGCACUGAGACAAGGGCCCAGGCCCUAUGGG